AACGCAUCUUACACUCUCAAGUAUUCCCGAGAGUAUGUCUGUCUAAGUUUCAUUUGAACUCUCAUGGUCUCUUUCCCUUCAUCAGGUGGGGUUUUCGGGUUUUACCCAGAGUGAUAGAAAUCUUUCGAGAUCUCUGGGGACUGCCUUAGGGUGGCCUGCUUUGGUGGGAGGGAUCGCCUAGUUAGACUCAUCUGACGUUUUUGAACUCAGAUCAGGCAGGACUACCCGCUGAACUUAA
rnacentral:misc_RNA from 1 species